GCCAAGAGGAGGUGUAAAGCAAAACGGCGAGAAGGAAAGGUGUUUUACUCUCAGUGGCAUGAAACAACAACAGCAGCUCACCAUCUACCACAGCAGAAGCAAGAACUAACCAGGCUGGGUAAACUCAGACACACAGUGUGAGUGCAAAGAUCUGGCCAAUUCCAGGAGCAUUGUAAAUGAGUCUUGAUAAUCCUCCAGACCGGGGAGAGAGGAAAGGAGUCUCCUCUUCAAGGUUGCAGUGGAGCAGGAUUGGCUGGAUCUCAGAGUCGUCGUCCAGGCUGUCUCCUGAGCUCUCCAGCAGCAGUCCCACCCCGUCGUCCAGGAUCUCUUCUGCAAAGAAAACGAUCAUGUAAAGCUCAUGAAUCUCUGUACAGGAUUUUUUUCAUCCUUC